rnacentral:rRNA from 1 species
UUGGACGCAUUUCCCUCCGCCCUUGGACGCCGCGGCCCGCGGGAGUCGCCGGCCGCGUCAAAGUCUGUCGGGAGGUCGCCUAAUCAGGGCCGGGACUGCGGGGGAGGCGGCCGGCGGUGAGUAGGUCGGUCACCCACCCGACCCGUCUUGAAACACGGACCAAGGAGUGCGACGCGUGCGCGAGUCGUCGGGUCUUGAUCAGGCCCGCAGGCGCAGCUAACUCGUGGUUGGGAUUCCCGGGACGCACCAGCGGCCCGGUCGGAGUCUGAGCGCACGCGUUGCGACCCGAAAGGUGGUGAGCUAUGCUUGGGCAGGUCGAAGCCAGAGGAAACUCUGGUGGAGGACCGUAGCGGUUCUGACGUGCAAAUCGAUCGUCAGACUCGAGUAUAGGGGCGUUAGACCAAUCGAACCACCUAGUAGCUGGUUCCCUCCGAAGUUUCCCUCAGGAUAGCUGGCGUCGGAGCAUUCGUUCCUGGUAAAGCGAA